rnacentral:other from 1 species
GAUUUCCUGCCCGGUGCGCGAAUCGUUGCACAAUAACCCUACAACGCAUUAAAAGGGAGCCCGGCUCCAGCGGCGGAUUGCAGACCUCCCGGCUUUGGCCGGAAGAAGGGAGCGUGAACCCGUUGGGAGGACACCCACCUGCUUAACUGGUAGGCAGGUUAUUAUCGCACCGUUACGGCCGGGCGGGGCCAAA